CGUACACACUCCCACACACUCGCACACACUCCCACACACUCGCACACACUCCCACACACUCGCACACACUCCCACACACUCGCACACACUCGCACACAAAUAAGGGGGCAGCCUCAAGGGGGGGUCUCUGAGCGGACGAUUCGGCUCCAUCGAGCGGCACCGUGCCCGGCACUGCCACGACGCUGUGCCGGGGCACGGUGGGGGCACGGUGGGGGGGGGGAGGCGGGGGGGGGUUCCCGUCUGGGAGUCGUGGCGUGACGGCGAUAGAGCAGCAAAGUUGAGGCGUCUCCUAAACCGCGAAUAAAAAAUCCUCAAGGCGUGCAUCAUCGCCGGUGCCAUGGCCACGACAUUCCCUCGUGUCCACAUCACGCCAUCUGGCCACCGUCGGCGCAUUUCCGAGUUCACGCCGUGCGUGCGUGCGUGCGGCGGCGGCUGCUGCGCGUGUUUGUGUGCGCGUGACAGCGUUCUUGCGGGUGCGUAUCGUGUUUUUGCCGACCGGUGGGUUUUGUGGCCGAGAUCGCGGUUUGCCGAUGCGGCCGUAGCGCCGGUUGUGGCGGUGAUGGCACCGCCAGAGAGAGGCUCGGCAAGAGCUCAGGGGGGCCCAAGCGGCUCGAUGGGCACCCAAGUUCAUGAAAAUCAAAAGGGGUGAAACCAAACAUCAGCUCAAAUUCAAAAGUGAAUGAACGUAACGUGCCAAUGAGUAUAACAGGCUCACUGAUCUGUCUCGUCUGUCUCGAUCUUCUCAAAACUCAUUCCGCCACAAUUAUCUUCAGUCCACGCUUCUCUCGUCUCUCUGCACCUCCGUCUCUUGUCUUCGUCGCUUCCGUCAUCUCUCGUUCGUAUUUUACGAGUCGGAAUGCAAAGGGAAGGCAUCCCACUAUAUCAACAAAAAUUCAGCUCCAGGCCUCCGAUUGGAUGAGCGCUCGCAUCAGGGGGCGGCGGUUGUUGGCGGUCGGCGCACCGCACCGGCGCACCGCCCCGGCUCGCCCCGGCCAAGAUGAGCGGCGAGCGCCGUCUCCGGGCCACGUCCGCUCGCGAGCAUCACCGGCGCCCGCGUCGGCCGCGUGCCACCGCGUCGCCUGUGCCUAAAACCGAACUCCCUCCCUUUGCCCUCCCCACCGCUCCACUCCUCCUCCACCACCCUCCGUAUCACCCGACCGCACCUUUUAACUUGUCACGAAGCGAUUUUGGGUGCAGAUAAAAAGCAAACGGUGCUGAUGAAUCGUCGAAAGGCCCCGCCCCCCCCCCCCAAGCCUCGGGGGCCCCCUCGACCAAAACGGAUCGCGUGCCAGAAUCCCCAGCCCCGUUGUGGCGGCGUCACCGUCGGCGUGAAUUCCCCGGCUGUCGGACCUCAGGAAUGUUUGCAACGUCCGGUAGGACGAGGAGGAUGAUGAUUGAUGUAACUUCUGAGAUCUUGUACAGCUGCCAGUACCCUCCUCUGGUGCGUGCAUGCAUGCGCGUACGUGGGUGGUGUGAGCGCGUGCGCGUGUUUUGGGGAAUCGUGCGUCACCUCCCGUCAGAUGACCCGCAACGCCGUGGGUCUGUGCCGUAACCUCCUGCCAGCAGCGAGCCAACGACACCUCACGUGACCUCAAGAGUGCAACUAGCCUGGCACGAGCGCUGUGGUGAAUUCGCCGUCGCUUGCUCACGUGGGCUGCUGUCGUGAACUCGUUUGAGCGCUGUGCUGCAAAGUCAGCGGCCAACACCGGUGGAAGUGAAAGUCGGAUCCGGUCUCCGGCCUCUUUGGUGUCCACUCAGCCUGGGGUGCUGUGUGAACGUGGACACCGGGGAGACAAAUGCCGUCUUGUGUGGUGCUGACUUCGAUAGUAGGCGCUCGCUGUGCCAUGGCUUGCCGUGAGAGUCUGCAGGGCUAUACGGCGUGUCUUUGUGAAUGUGCAGGGCUAUACGGUUGUCUUGGUGAAGAUGCAGGGCUAUACGACGUGUCUUGGUGAAGGUGCAGGGCUAUACGGCGUGUCUUUGUAAAGGUGCAGGGCUAUACGGCGUGUCUUUGUCUUUGUAAAGGUGCAGGGCUAUACGGCGUGUCUUUGUGAAGGUGCAGGGCUAUACGGCGUCUUUGUGAAGGUGCAGGGCUAUACGGCGUGUCUUUGUGAAGAUGCAGGGCUAUACGGCGUGUCUUUGUGAAGGUGCAGGGCUAUACGGCGUGUCUUAGUGAAGGUGCAGGGCUAUACGGCGUGUCUUUGUGAAGAUGCAGGGCUAUACGGCGUGUCUUUGUGAAGGUGCAGGGCUAUACGGCGUGUCUUAGUGAAGGUGCAGGGCUAUAAGGCGUGUCUUUGUGAAGGUGCAGGGCUAUACGGCGUGUCUUUGUCUUUGUGAAUGUGCAGGGCUAUAAGGCGUGUCUUUGUGAAGAUGCAGGGCUAUAAGGCGUGUCUUUGUGAAGGUGCAGGGCUAUAAGGCGUGUCUUUGUCUUGGUGAAUGUGCAGGGCUAUACGGCGUGUCUUUGUGAAGGUGCAGGGCUAUACGGCGUGUCUUUGUCUUGCGUGCGCAUGCUUCCGCCGAGCGUCGCGAUUUUUGUUUUAAAGAAGGAAAACCU